GGUUUCAUAGUAUAGUGGUUAUCAUGUCUCUUUUAUGUGCAGAAGGUCUUGGGUUCAAUCCCUGGUAAAACCA
rnacentral:tRNA from 1 species